rnacentral:rRNA from 1 species
UCGCAUGAAGUCGGAAUUGCUAGUAAUCGCGGAUCAGCAUGCCGCGGUGAAUACGUUCCCGGGCCUUGUACACACCGCCCGUCACACCAUGGGAGCCGGUAAUACCCGAAGUCAGUAGUCCAACCUCGUGAGGACGCUGCCGAAGGUAGGAUUGGCGACUGGGGUGAAGUCGUAACAAGGUACC